rnacentral:rRNA from 1 species
CCUACGGGAGGCAGCAGUGAGGAAUAUUGGUCAAUGGGCGGGAGCCUGAACCAGCCAAGUCGCGUGAGGGAUGACGGCCCUAUGGGUUGUAAACCUCUUUUGCCGGGGAGCAAAGUGCCGCACGUGUGCGGUUUGGAGAGUACCCGGAGAAAAAGCAUCGGCUAACUCCGUGCCAGCAGCCGCGGUAAUACGGAGGAUGCGAGCGUUAUCCGGAUUUAUUGGGUUUAAAGGGAGCGUAGGUGGAUUGUUAAGUCAGUUGUGAAAGUUUGCGGCUCAACCGUAAAAUUGCAGUUGAAACUGGCAGUCUUGAGUACAGUAGAGGUGGGCGGAAUUCGUGGUGUAGCGGUGAAAUGCUUAGAUAUCACGAAGAACUCCGAUUGCGAAGGCAGCUCACUGGACUGCAACUGACACUGAGGCUCGAAAGUGUGGGUAUCAAACAGGAUUAGAUACCCGUGUAGUC